rnacentral:piRNA from 1 species
UGACCAAGCUGUCCUGUGGCUGUCUG